rnacentral:lncRNA from 1 species
UCACUCUCAAGGUAGAAAUCCCGAAUUCACUACUGUAGCCCAAGCCUGCACUGCUAAUACAAUUCAUUAGAAUAUAUUAACAUCCUUUUUUGAAUACGGACUUUCCAACUAGCACCCGAGCUCCCAUAACCGCUUGCUGCUCUGAUUAUCUAUAGUAUACUUUCUUUUUUCUUCAUAGCUCGGUCGAUGUGGACACUAUACUGGCGCAAGAACAAAACGGCACCAUACCUUAAAUGAUGACAGGGCUCUAAACUGUGCACCAAGGGACUUCAACUCCAAACUAGGGCUUUCACUGCCGAUCUCACAUCUGUAUUUGCCCGGGUUCACUCUGCCCUCUAUCUUAGUGAGAUACCCCGACGAGGGAGACUAUAGCUAACAAACAAUACUUUGAGGCGUGGGGAAAGCGGACAGGCUCGCAAUCUCUCUAGUGAUUAUAUGUAGCCCGAAAGCAGGCUCCGUAUCGGGAGCUCAAGAAUGCAAAGAACACCGGUUGGUUCUCAUAUGCCCGGGUGAAUUUGCAUAGCGAGUAGGCUUUCAGCACCUAGUGAGAGUUGUAUUCCCGUAGGUCGUUUUGUAUUCUCUGUUUUGAGUUGAAGGUAUUGGUAGCCUUGUUUCUAUUUGGAUAGUAAGCAGUACGGGAGUUUCCUGUAUGGGUAACAGUUUCGAGGUAAGGUGUGGUAGGCUAGUCUCACAGGGGAGUUCGGUAGCUUGGAGGAAGGGAACUACAUGCUGAUAUAAGGCAGACAGGAUUUCGAUUUCACUAUGUUGUAUAAGAAUGAGCUCUUGGAGAAUGAGGAUCUUAUAUGUGGUAGUUCUAGAGAAUGAGGAUCUUAUAUGUGGUAGUUCAGACAGGGACAAAGCAUCUUUGGUAGGGACCAAUAUUUUCUAUGGUAUUAUUGAGGAGUAACAAAGGAAGUCGAAGCACCUAUUACUUCGGUCCCCCGAAGGAUUCUCUAUGGUAUUAUUGAAGAGUAACAAAGGAAGUCGAAGCACCUAUUACUUCGGUCCCCCGAAAGAGGGUUAGGUAAAAUAAUAAAGGAACGAGAGUCCGGAUCAAAACAAUGAAGUCCACCCCCGAAUCCUUACGCCCAUCCUGUAUUCUCCUACCGAAUCCUUACGCCCAUCCUGUAUUCUCCUAUAUAUAUCCCGACAGGCGUAUUAGCAUAAAUCAGAAAUGUGCUAUUACCUUGUUUGAAUGUGCUAUUACCUUGUUUUAUGUAUUGGAUUUAGCAUCUGGUGGGCUUCCCGUCCAGAGUCCAACAAUGAUGGUUGUCUUACAAUCCUUAUUAGUGUUAUCUUGUUUUGGGGCGCAAAGCUAGGGAACUCGUUCAGCCUUAAGUGAUCCGCUUCCUUCGACGCCGUACCAUCUUAAGUGAUCCGCUUCCUUCGACGCCGUACCAUGAUAUAAGCAGCCGAAGCCCCAGUUGUCUAGCUAAAGAUUUCUCGAGUAAGUAGUUUGCUCAACUAAGCAGUUUCGUCGGUGAGCUCUGUAUGGUCUUCGGCUCUCGCCCAGAUCGAAGGACAUAUCCGGGUAAUUUCACCUUUCAAAAGAAUUAGGCAUUUUUAGGUAUCCCGAAGUUUCGUAACUUGGUAACUGGACCGCAGAAGGAAUAGAAGAUUUUACAGAUACAUCAGCAGGAGGAGAUUACUAAAAAACCUAAACCUAAGGAGAUGCCUCUACUCGAGUGGAAGACAAAUCCUCCUAUUCCCUCAGAUGCUUAACCGAUGGUACUAAACCGGUAGGGAGAGUUGGUGGAGACUCAACAGAAACGGAAUAAGGCUCGGGAUCUGUUUGGGAGAAACCGGAGGAGAAGGUACAAGAGUAACUCGACUGAAAGAACUCAACCCAAGGAAAUUGGAUCGUUAAUAAGUGAAGCAGCUUAUGCAGCAGCUGAAGGAAAGCUGGUAAUAAGGAAAGCAGGGAACUGCACUGAGAAAAACCACUAGUCGAAGGAAAGCCAGUAAUGCAGUCUCGGAGUUUCACUCUAGGCUACCAGUUCUUCACAGUAUAAGGGGGUGUCUUGGCCACUCUAAUAUCGUCAGAAGGCUUACGAGUCUAUCGAAGAGAAACAAGCUGUGAACCAUAAUAUCUAUCAUCGCUAGUUAAUCAAGUCUGGCUUAACUCCGCUCAAGCAUGUGUUUGCCUGUAACCGACUCUCUGUCUGGUCUGAAAGAAGUUCACCGAAAGAGUCCGUAGUCCUAUCUGAGAAGCUUGAAUUCAUAUUUCUCUUUGACUUAGAAGGUAGGGUCGCUUCCCUUUGAAAGAUGCUAUGAGACUAUUUCAAACCAUGUAGUAUAGCUAAUAAAGGUUCGAUUCUUCACCUCUCAAUUACAUAUGUGGAGAAGAAAGAAUCUAAUGACAUAUCUUCUCUCGUCAUUCCGUCAAUCUCUGUAUUCCCAACCCCGAGUGAAACGACUGCUUUGUAGAGUGGAUUGGAGCUUCUGGGACAAAAUAAAGUAGAUUGAUUUCUCUUAUAUCUCGGAAGGACUAUGCUGAAUUCCGCCUUUGAGAAUAGGAUAGUGCUCGCUUUCAGACGGCUUUCUCAAUCGUGCCCAUAUAGUUGCAUGGAAGCGGCAUAUAAUCGUGCAUACUUUCAUUCAUACGUGGGUGGGUUCAGUGCGCUAUCAGUCCAGCUUAGCAAUGGGUUCAGUGCGCUAUCAGUCCAGCUUAGCAAUACAAAUAAGGGUCAAAAGCCAUCUAUUCGUAUUCUGGAUCCCUCCGCCAUCUCGCCUCAAAGUGGAAAGGACCAGCUCGUCUUCACCUCUGAAAUACCUUUAAGUCUCAAUAAGGAUUGGGGAUGAUCUGAGUAUGAACUAGAUGGGUGAUGAACAGAGCCUUGGGGAAAAAGAUGACACCAGCGGAAUAUCUUACUAGGCUCGAUCUAGUCGCUCCCAAACAGUGGAAUUACCAAAUCUGCCAUUACACAAUGGUUAUUCCGGCCCCAUAAAGCCAAUAUCCAUAAUAGAAAGAUCCGAGACACUUACCCCGUUUAGAAAGCCUAAAUUAUACCUUUACUUCUGGGUGGACCUCUAAGCUUUUCCUAAGAAUUUGGUUCCAAUCCCCGGCACAAACAAAGUAAUGGAAGAUCUGAUGGAAUACUAGAAUAGAAAAGCUCCAUUAUUCAUUGUGCUUACUCACGUCCGGAUUACCAUAGAAAGCAAGUGGGAAACCUCUAUUUAUUCCCGGCAUCAUCAUCCUAAAUAUUAACAUGGAUAUGCCUUAGCGAAUAACUAUGCCCUUCCUUACUUAUCCUCCUUCUAUAGAAGGGCCCGCCCGAGGCUUCAAUACUAUCGACAGCUACCCAAAAUGGCUUUCCGGAAGCUUGACUCGUUCCAUCAUGAUGGCGUGUCUCUAUGAGAAAGACAAAGUGGGGAAUUUGCCCCUUUAACAAGCUCUUCAGGGCACGAAUAGCACGGGGGGCUGGGCUAGGGAAUCCACAUCCCUUUACGUUUCUCCUCUUGAGGGAGCUGGCUCAUUAUGAGUUUUCUGGGAACUAUCCUUCUUCCUCUAAUACUCAAAUGGCAAAACACUGUUUCAUUUUCGAUAGGCUUACCACAGCCGGGCCCACCUCUUCCAUUCCACCAGUGUAUAAGAAAACCUGAAUUGAUCUAUGUUCAACGCUUUGGGCAAAGCCAGACCGACCUUAUUGGACUUUGAGUACGCUCGGGAGCUAGGUUAAGACUGGUAUUGCUAAUAAACACAUAAGAUGAAAAAAACGAAAAACGAAAUGUAAUGGAAUGGCAGGAAGGUAUGGUGGUUCCCGUACUAGGACCCACUCCCGAAAGGAAAGUUGGGUCAAAGCCCUGAGAAGGAUUACAGGUAACGGCGUGUUUAGUACCCCGACGCUCCAUCGCCUGAUCGGAAACUCCUUUGGGGCGAGUUGCUUCGUUAAUAGACUCAAGUAAGCUCGAAGACCAAGUUGCUUCGUUAAUAGACUCAAGUAAGCUCGAAGACCAGGCUUUCCCCUGUAUUGUAUCAUGACCCUAGCUUUCCCCUGUAUUGUAUCAUGACCCUAUAAGAUGGUUUCUAUUUACCUACAUCUUUCAAUGAAGUUGCUCUUGCGCCUAUUUCUUUUGCUGACUCGGGAAUCAACCCGAACAUACGGACUCCCUUUCUACUUUUCUUGUAGGCGCCUCUCAAGGCUUGCUUCUUUAGGGUUUCCUUGGUCGGGGAAUCCAUCAAAUCAAGAGAAGGCGACACUUGCUUGUUUUCUAGCUUGGUUUAUGGAAGCAUCUAGGUGAAAGGUUCCGCUUAAUAAGGCCAUAAUGAAUGCGGCUGGACACAAAGCACAGAAGGGUUGGUUGGUCACUUCUCUUUCUCAUGGGAUUGGUUACUCUGUCCCCGCUUCAUUGCCUUCACAACCACUUCAAAGAAAAGGCUAGAAGUGAAAGUGAAGCUCUUGGAAAAGAUCUAGUGGCUGACCUACCCAUAAUUCAGGACUUCCUCCCAGUCAGAUGUCCAUCCAUAACUUUCCAUUCGUUAGGUGUUAAUUAUUCACUAACUAAUUUGUAAGACUACUGGUGAAUUAUUCACUAACUAAUUUGUAAGACUACAGUAAUUUGAGAGACUGACUUCUGAAUUUGGUGUUUGUUGGAGGCUUUUGAAGGGUUUAGGGGCGCCUCAAGCAGUGCACGAGUAUACCAUUGAUAGAGUAGAGUCCUUUUGGUGCACCCAAGCUUUGCUGCCUAAAGAAUUGAGAAAUAUGCUUUUUUAGGGAUAUGUUGGCCCAAGAAGGCUAACUGUCACCAUAUAUAAAUAAGUCCUCCGCUCUGGCUGCUAUUUACUAUAUUGUCUCACUGAGCUGCAAUGUCUUUGUACCUUCCUAAUGGAGGAAACAUGGGCCUUCCUGCACCAGCCUUAAACCAACCCUAAAGAUUCAUUGCUGUUUGACUGUUUCAUUCGAUACAAGUUCCGAUCCUUUGCUUGCUGAGAUAUCAAUGGGAAUCACAUUCGUGUUGAUGUUACCACAGUCAUAUCUUUUGCUUCAGUUGCUGCUGAGUAAAUAGGGAUUGAUCUUCCGAGUAGGAGAAAGAUGACAGCUUGGAUUGAGUACACAGAUGGAGCAAAGUUGACUCAGGUUUGGGCUAGUUACUCGAAGAUAGAGUCCUUCCUGUACUAUUCUUGUGGCUCGGGUUUACCUUUCUCAGCAUUUCAAGGAGUAUAUGCAUGGUGGUUUCUCUGCUUCUAACGGGCAAGGAUCCGCAGCUCACAUUCAUUGUUCAUCAUUGGGGAGAUUUCUCACUUUUCCCCUACUUUUACCCCAUAUGGAUAGAAUUGCAGAAGUGGUUGCUAUCCCAAGAAACAAAGACAAGCCAAGUCAUCUUCAUUAACAAAAAGAGAAAAGAUUGGAGGUUGGAAAGGGCAUUUGUCCUCUCUAGAAUUGGAGUUAUUGUCAGAAUGGUUUUCUUGGUGGUGUGUAGAAAAAGGAGUAUUAGCAGAAGUCAAGAAGGAAGAACCAGUAGAUUGAAUAGAGUGCCAUCAAGGUUGUCAAUUUAGGAGAGAAAGUCAGCAACCUUGGGGUUUGUUUUAAUCGCAAAUCGAAAAAGAAUUGUCAGUAAAGGGGGCCGCCCCCUUUAUUACUAAUAGACACAAGCACUCAACCCACCUAUUUGAUUAUGAUUCUAGCCUCAAUUCUAUACCAGUUAUUGCUGGAUCUGCUCUAACUGCUUCCUUUACAUACUUUGGCACUGCGGAGAGUCUGGUAAGUGUAAAGUUUCAAUCAUGGAAUAUGAACACAUAAACUCAUAUUUGAACGUAAACAUACAUACUGCUGAAUCUCUUCUUUAGUUACAUGUUCUCUAAUAAGUAACCAAACGGCUUCUAAUAAUCACACAUAGUGUUGCACUCCAAUAGAAGCCUCCGCGGUUCCACUCUUUUAUUGAGUUUAAUCUAUCUCAAGUAAGCGGGGAAAGAUCUAUUUUGUUCCGUUCCGCAGAGAUGCACUCAGCAUUAGGCAACAUCACGCGCCUUUCUUUUCCUUAUAAGAAGGGAGUUAGAGUUUCCUGAAAGUAAUGUUAAGAAAUGCUAUAUUAGAUGUUUUUACUAAAUGAAUAGUAUAGUUUAGAUUGUUUUUACUAUAUUCUAAAUAAGUCCCGCUAUCUUCUCUUCCGUAAUGAUAGUAGGCUGUUUGGUUACUUAUUCGGGUAGGGCUUGGCUUAUCUUAAUGGGAGGCCAGCCAAUCUCGAGAGACCACGAUCGAUAUUAGUGGAGUUGUGAGUUCUGCUGCUAUGCGAGAGAAUUCUAUACUUACUGACUUACUUACUCACCCGAAUUGUCGAAACAAGCAGUACCCUUUUAUAGGCGCUUCACUAGGCGGAUUCAUUGAUUGCUUAGCGCCCUCUCCCGACGCUGACUUGUCACGGUGCAGAAGGAAUUCCAUUCUCCAGUGUUUAUUGUGGGAAUCCCAUAUCUAUAGGUCAUCAGGUUUUCGGGGAAGUUCAAAGGAUAUGGUAGCAUGAUAUGAAGCAUCUAAGCUCUAUUUGACUCAUCUCGAGAUCGAAUUCUCUUUUCUAACAAGCAGUGCAUCAGUGUUUCAGUACGUCCGGUUAACAUGGUUCGAUGUGAUAAGAAGAAUCUUACCCACGAGCAAGCAGUCAGGCGCAACAUUAAGCGAUUUCAGUCUCUUCGCUAGUAAAUAGCCUCUUUCCGAACCACUUACACAAGGGGAUUUUCACAGUCCUUUGCUUAUCCGCCAAUCCACUUCCUUCCUAUAACAAAUAGGCUAACUCUAUCUCUAAAUUGCCUAUCCUCAUACGAGCGGGCAGGACUCGUACUGAUGUAUCUUUCUCUGUUAAUAUGAAAACUCCGAAUUCUAGUAAGGCAAGAAGGCACUUAGAACUAUACGGAGGCGAUGUAAUCUCAGAUAAAGCAAAGAACACUUCGGGCAUGAAAACUUAGUGGAGUUCCUAUUCUCUUUCGUUUCAUUAAAGGGAUCCUCGUACGAGUCGGGUAGCUAGCUGUCUCUGUAAUAAGAAUGUGAUUUUCCCCCAUUGCUUUAAGAAAAGGUCAUAAUAAUGAAGUUUCCUCCCUUGCUUGCUUGAAGAAAAUCAUAUAAUAUAAGUCUAUUAUUUCUGACCCUUGUUUGUUCCGUUACUUGCUCAUUUGCCUAAAGCUUGUUCGAAGCGCUUGCUUGUUCCCUUGCUUAAAGAAAGUAAAGGAAUGGAGUUAUGUAACUAGGGACAAACCUAUUAUUCGCCUUAAAGCUAUAAGAAAGGAAUUGCACUUUCCACUACUAUUUUCUUUCAUAACAACACUUUACUGCUGAAAUCCAGAAAAAGGUGUUCACCUCUCUAAACUUGAAUAUAGAGAAUAUCGGUACCUCGAUGUCGGCUAGGUAUUCUUCGUCUUCAAGUGCACACAAGAGAGCCCAUGGAACUAGGCUCGAGAAGGCGCGGAACCCUCCUUUCUUAUUGCGUGUGAAAACUCCAAACACGGGACGGCGAAAUCCAGGAAUAUGCACAUAGAUUACCUUAUAUGAGAGAAUAUUGAUUCAAGAAAAACCACAUAACAAGCAACGGGACAAGAUAAAGGUAACGAAUAAGCAACUUUACAAGAGAAAGGUCAAGUUGUGCUAACGUGAGUUCCUACUUAAAACAUCACUGCGGACAUCUUACGUAGCGGUCACCUCAAUCCUUUCUUUAAACCUAACAGCUUCUCAACAAGCAAUUACUCAUUAAUGUAGCUUUUCUCUUGACCCGCUCUAUCUUUAUCUUUAGGCUAAUCAAUUCCGCCUUC